CAAUAAGCGGAGGAAAAGAAACCAACAGGGAUUACCUCAGUAACGGCGAGUGAAGCGGUAACAGCUCAAAUUUGAAAUCUGGCUCUUUCAGGGUCCGAGUUGUAAUUUGUAGAAGAUGCUUCGGAUGUGGCUCCGGUCUAAGUCCCUUGGAACAGGGCGUCAUAGAGGGUGAGAAUCCCGUAUGUGACUGGCUGCCUCCGUCCAUGUGAAGCUCUUUCGACGAGUCGAGUUGUUUGGGAAUGCAGCUCAAAAUGGGUGGUAAAUUUCAUCUAAAGCUAAAUAUUGGCCAGAGACCGAUAGCGCACAAGUAGAGUGAUCGAAAGAUGAAAAGCACUUUGGAAAGAGAGUUAAACAGUACGUGAAAUUGUUGAAAGGGAAGCGCUUGCAAUCAGACUUGCACGUAGCCGAUCAUCUGGGGUUCUCUCCAGUGCACUCGGUUGCGUUCAGGCCAGCAUCGGUUUGGGCGGUUGGAUAAAGGCCUUGGGAAUGUAGCUUCUUUCGGGGAGUGUUAUAGCCCUCGGUGCAAUGCAGCCUGCCCGGACCGAGG
rnacentral:rRNA from 2 species